UCCGGUGACCAUACCGUCGGGGUCCUACCCGUUCCCAUUCCGAACACGGCCGUCAAGCCCGCCGGGCCUAUGAUAGUGCGUCAGCGCGAAAGUCGGUGAUCGCCGGAU
rnacentral:rRNA from 12 species